rnacentral:rRNA from 1 species
AAAAGAAACUAACAAGGAUUCACCUAGUAACGGCGAGUGAAGAGGGAAGAGCCCAAGAUUGAAAGCUGGCGUCUUCGGCGUCCGCAUUGUAAUCUCAAGAAGUGUUUUCCGCUUCGGACCAUGCCUAAGUCCCUUGGAAAAGGGCAUCAUAGAGGGUGAUAAUCCCGUACAUGGCAUGGAGCGCCCGAAGCUUUGUGAUACGCUUUCUAAGAGUCGAGUUGUUUGGGAAUGCAGCUCAAAAUGGGUGGUAAAUGCCAUCUAAGGCUAAAUAUUGGGGAGAGACCGAUAGCGAACAAGUACAGUGAUGGAAAGAUGAAAAGAACUUUGAAAAGAGAGUUAAACAGUACGUGAAAUUGCCAAAAGGGAAGGGUAGGAGGUCAGAGAUGCGGCCUGGGAUUCAGCCUUGCUUUUGCUUGGUGUUUUUCCCAGAUUGCAGGCCAACGUCGGUUUUGGGCACUGGAGAAGGGUAGGAGGAACGUGGCACCUCUCGGGGUGUGUUAUAGCCUCCUACUGGAUACAGCGACCGAGACCGAGGACAGCAGCGUACUCGCAAGAGCGGGCCUUCGGGCACCUUUACGCUUAGGGCGUUGGCAUAAUGGCCCUCUACCACCCGUCUU